ensembl:snRNA U6 U6 spliceosomal RNA
GUGCUCACUUUGGCAGCACAUCUAAUGAAAUUGGAAUGAUACAGAGGAGAUCAACAUGGCUCCUGUGCAAGGAUGACACACAAAUUUAUGAAGCAUUCCAUAUUUCU